GACGUAGGAGGCGAGCGUUGUCCGGAAUUAUUGGGCGUAAAGAGCUCGUAGGCGGUUUGUCGCGUCUGCCGUGAAAGUCCGGGGCUCAACUCCGGAUCUGCGGUGGGUACGGGCAGACUAGAGUGAUGUAGGGGAGUCUGGAAUUCUUGGUGUAGCAGUGAAAUGCGUAGAUAUCAAGAGGAACACCAGUGGCGAAGGCGGGAUCCUGGGCCAGUACUGACGCUGAGAAGCGAAAGCAUGGGGAGCGAACAGG
rnacentral:rRNA from 1 species